rnacentral:rRNA from 1 species
GAUGAACGCUAGCGGCAGGCUUAACACAUGCAAGUCGAGGGGCAGCAUGACACGGAGAUUCGUCGAAGUGUUGAUGGCGACCGGCGCAAGGGUGCGUAACGCGUGAGCAACUUGCCCGUUUCUGGGGAAUAACCGGUGGAAACGCCGACUAAUACCCCAUAGCAUAACGAAGAGGCAUCUUUUUGUUAUUAAAGAAUUUCGGAAACGGAUAGGCUCGCGUGACAUUAGCUAGAUGGCGGGGUAACGGCCCACCAUGGCGACGAUGUCUAGGGGUUCUGAGAGGAAGGUCCCCCACACUGGAACUGAGACACGGUCCAGACUCCUACGGGAGGCAGCAGUGAGGAAUAUUGGUCAAUGGUCUGACGACUGAACCAGCCAUGCCGCGUGAAGGUCACGGCCCUAUGGGUCUUAAACUUCUUUUGUAAGGGAGCAAUAAGUCUCACGUGUGGGAUGAUGAGAGUACCUUACGAAUAAGCAUCGGCUAACUCCGUGCCAGCAG